GACGAACGCUGGCGGCGUGCCUAAUACAUGCAAGUAGAACGCUGAAGGAGGAGCUUGCUCUUCUGGAUGAGUUGCGAACGGGUGAGUAACGCGUAGGUAACCUGCCUGGUAGCGGGGGAUAACUAUUGGAAACGAUAGCUAAUACCGCAUAAGAGUAGAUGUUGCAUGACAUUUACUUAAAAGGUGCACUUGCAUCACUACCAGAUGGACCUGCGUUGUAUUAGCUAGUUGGUGGGGUAACGGCUUACCAAGGCGACGAUACAUAGCCGACCUGAGAGGGUGAUCGGCCACACUGGGACUGAGACACGGCCCAGACUCCUACGGGAGGCAGCAGUAGGGAAUCUUCGGCAAUGGACGGAAGUCUGACCGAGCAACGCCGCGUGAGUGAAGAAGGUUUUCGGAUCGUAAAGCUCUGUUGUAAGAGAAGAACGAGUGUGAGAGUGGAAAGUUCACACUGUGACGGUAUCUGACCAGAAAGGGACGGCUAACUACGUG
rnacentral:rRNA from 1 species